rnacentral:rRNA from 1 species
GAUGAACGCUAGCGACAGGCCUAACACAUGCAAGUCGAGGGGCAUCGGGGCGAGGAGCAAUCCUUGCCGCCGGCGACCGGCGCACGGGUGAGUAACGCGUAUGCGACCUGCCCGUUGCAGGGGGAUAAUCGGGAGAAAUCCCGUCUAAUACCGCGUAACGCCGCGGGGCUGCAUGGCCCUGCGGCCAAAGGGAGCGAUUCCGGCAACGGAUGGGCAUGCGUGACAUUAGCUAGUUGGCGGGGCAACGGCCCACCAAGGCGACGAUGUCUAGGGGUUCUGAGAGGAAGGUCCCCCACACUGGUACUGAGACACGGACCAG